rnacentral:rRNA from 1 species
GCCUGCCCAGUGACCUAGUUCAACGGCCGCGGUAUCCUAACCGUGCGAAGGUAGCGUAAUCACUUGUUCUUUAAAUGAGGACUAGUAUGAAUGGCACCACGAAGGUUAAACUGUCUCCUCUUUCUAAUCAAUGAAACUAAUCUCCCCGUGAAGAAGCGGGGAUAAAUACAUAAGACGAGAAGACCCUAUGGAGCUUCAAACUAUAUAGCAUCAGCCUUACACCCAUAAAUUCCAGAACAAUAAAAAUUACUCUGGCUGCUAUGACUAUUAGUUUUAGGUUGGGGUGACCGCGGAGUAUAAAUAAACCUCCACAUUGAAUGGAUGAAUCCCUGAGCAAAAAGCUACAACUUUAAGCACCAAUAAAUUGACAUUAAUUGACCCAAUAAUUUGAUCAACGAACCAAGUUACCCUAGGGAUAACAGCGCAAUCCAUUUCAAGAGCCCCUAUCGACAAAUGGGUUUACGACCUCGAUGUUGGAUCAGGGUAUCCCAGUGGUGCAGCCGCUACUAAUGGUUCGUUUGUUCAACGAUUAAAACCCUACGUGAUCU